rfam:Neisseria zoodegmatis strain DSM 21643 NODE_75_length_404_cov_0.66065_ID_149, whole genome shotgun sequence.
CCACCCAUGGCCAGGAUGAAAGGUCCGUAACAGGUCAUGGAGGUGAGGACCCACGCCUGUUGCGAAAUGCGGGGAUGCGGUGUGAAUAGGGGUGAGAUGCUAAACAGACUCGGAGAUAACUGGUUCGCCCCGAAAAAUAUUUAGGUAGUGCCUCAGGUAACACUUCCGGGGGUAAAGCACUGUUAUGGCAAGGGGGACAUUGCGGCUGACCCAGCCAAUGCAGACUAAGAAUACCGGAAAGCGGAAGCAUGGGAUACCGACAGCGGGAGCUAACUUCCGUUGUCGAGAGGGAAACAAUCCAGACCGCCAGCGAAGGUCGCAUACGGCAGUUUAAUUGGUAUACGAAGAGCGGAGGACCAGGGCGCCAGGAUGUGUGCUUAGAAGCUGCCAUCAGUUGAAGAAAG